UUGGCCCUGAAUCAAGGGCAGCAGUUUGCUGGAGCUGUUGGUUUCGAGCAGGAGCCUGAAGAAGUGUCUUCUCAUGGUCUGACAGCCAUUUCAGAACUGUGGAAACGUGACGGUCAAUACAUUAAACGUACACAUCU
ensembl:snoRNA